CCUACGGGUGGCUGCAGUAGGGAAUAUUGGACAAUGGGCGAAAGCCUGAUCCAGCCAUGCCGCGUGAUAGAUGAAGGCCCUCUGGGUUGUAAAUAUCUUUUAUCUGGGAAGAAACAAUCUUAUUCUUAAGAUCUUGACGGUACCAGAGGAAUAAGCACCGGCUAACUCCGUGCCAGCAGCCGCGGUAAUACGGAGGGUGCAAGCGUUAUCCGGAUUCACUGGGUUUAAAGGGUGCGUAGGCGGGCUGAUAAGUCAGUGGUGAAAGCUCCGAGCUU
rnacentral:rRNA from 1 species